rnacentral:rRNA from 1 species
AGCAGCCGCGGUAAUUCCAGCUCCAAUAGCGUAUAUUAAAGUUGUUGCAGUUAAAAAGCUCGUAGUUGAAUUUCGGGAUUGACGUAAUGGUCGUGCCUUAAGGGGUAUGAACUGUUACUGUUGAUUUCUCACCUUCUGGAGAAACUUGAUGUCCUUAAUUGGGUGUCUUGCGGAUCCAGGACCUUUACCUUGAAAAAUUAGAGUGUUUAAAGCAGGCAUUUUUGCUCGAAUACAUUAGCAUGGAAUAAUAGAAUAGGACGGCAUGGUUCUAUUUUGUUGGUUUCUAGGAUCACCGUAAUGAUUAAUAGGGAUAGUUGGGGGCAUUAGUAUUCAAUUGUCAGAGGUGAAAUUCUUGGAUUUAUUGAAGACUAACUACUGCGAAAGCAUUUGCCAAGGAUGUUUUCAUUAAUCAAGAACGAAAGUUAGGGGAUCGAAGACGAUCAGAUACCG